rnacentral:rRNA from 1 species
GGUUAGCGGCUUAGGCGUACAGGGUGGUGGCCUGGCCGGCAAGAGGGAUUGAAGAACGGGAUAACAGGGGAAAAGGUUGGUUAGGGUAAUUUGACCCUUUAUAACCGGCGUGUUCGGAAGGGGAAACCCAGUGUGAUUCGUCACACUAUCGUUAACUGAAUACAUAGGUUAACGAGGCGAACCGGGGGAACUGAAACAUCUAAGUACCCCGAGGAAAA